AGAGUUUGAUCAUGGCUCAGAACGUACGCUGGCGGCACGCCUAACACAUGCAAGUCGAACGAAGUAGCAAUACUUAGUGGCAGACGGGUGAGUAACAUGUAGGUAUCUGCCCUUUGGCCUGGAAUAACACGAGGAAACUUGUGCUAAUACCGGAUAAGUCUUUACGGAGAAAGCUUUAUGCACCAUUGGAUGAGCCUGCACUUGAUUAGUUUGUUGGUGGGGUAAUGGCCUACCAAGACUGUGAUCAAUAGCUGAUUUGAGAGGAUGAUCAGCCACAUUGGGACUGAGACACGGCCCAAACUCCUACGGGAGGCAGCAGUGGGGAAUCUUGCACAAUGGAGGAAACUCUGAUGCAGCGAUGCCGCGUGAGUGAAGAAGGCCUUUGGGUUGUAAAGCUCUUUCGUCGGGGAAGAAAAUGACUGUACCCGAAUAAGAAGGUCCGGCUAACUUCGUGCCAGCAGCCGCGGUAAUACGAAGGGACCUAGCGUAGUUCGGAAUUACUGGGCUUAAAGAGUUCGUAGGUGGUUGAAAAAGUUGGUGGUGAAAUCCCAGAGCUUAACUCUGGAACUGCCAUCAAAACUUUUCAGCUAGAGUAUGAUAGAGGAAAGCAGAAUUUCUAGUGUAGAGGUGAAAUUCGUAGAUAUUAGAAAGAAUACCAAUUGCGAAGGCAGCUUUCUGGAUCAUAACUGACACUGAGGAACGAAAGCAUGGGUAGCGAAGAGGAUUAGAUACCCUCGUAGUCCAUGCCGUAAACGAUGUGUGUUAGACAUUGGAAAUUUAUUUUCAGUGUCGCAGCGAAAGCGAUAAACACACCGCCUGGGGAGUACGACCGCAAGGUUAAAACUCAAAUGAAUUGACGGGGACCCGCACAAGUAGUGGAGCAUGUGGUUUAAUUCGAAGAUACGCGCAGAACCUUACCAACACUUGACAUGUUCGUCGCGACUUUAAGAGAUUAAAGUUUUCGGUUCGGCCGGACGAAACACAGGUGCUGCAUGGCUGUCGUCAGCUCGUGUCGUGAGGUGUUGGGUUAAGUCCCGCAACGAGCGCAACCCUCACUUUUAGUUGCCAUCAUUAAGUUGGGCACUCUGAAAGAACUGCCAGUGAUAAGCUGGAGGAAGGUGGGGAUGACGUCAAGUCCUCAUGGCCCUUACGUGUUGGGCUACACACGUGCUACAAUGGUAUCUACAACAGGAAGCAAGACUGCGAAGUUAAGCAAAUCCUUAAAAGAUACCUCAGUUCGGAUUGCACUCUGCAACUCGAGUGCAUGAAGCUGGAAUUACUAGUAAUCGUGGAUCAGCGUGCCACGGUGAAUGCGUUCCCGGGUCUUGUAGA
rnacentral:rRNA from 1 species